CACAGGUACAAGUCAAAAGCAUGAUAUAGAAAAGAGGAAGAAAGGAAGUGUCUUGAAGUGAUUAUACCUACCCCUUCAGAGCCUCUGUCUGUUCUUCUUAAUGUUUCUCCGACAAACCAAAUUCUACACUGUAAAUUUGUUUCCACGCUCCCAAAAUGAGAUGCUCAAUCUUGGUCUAUCUCUUUCUGGUAGCACAAGAAGUCACAUGCUUCAACAAACAUGCACCACCAUUGUCCCAUUUCAGGAUCAAAUUUAAGGAUAGAAUGGCCUGUCCAUUGCCGUAUCAUCCCGGCCACCCUCUGCAUCUCCAUCUACCAAGAUAGGAACUCACAAACUAGAAUUGAUAAUUGUUACAUGGACUAUACAGUAGGUGAUGGUGUACCUUUGGAGCAAGCUUUGGAAGUUGAGGAAGACCCAACAUCUAGUGCUUAGGAUUUCUACUAGCUCUUGUGUUAUAUAGCUCUUCAUUUUGAAAGACUUUUAGACUUCAUUUUAUCAUGAUCCGUCAUUUCGGGAAACUUUUUAGGUCUCUUUAAAAUUUCAUUAGUCUUGUAUUUCGGAAAAUUAUGAACUUGUACUUAAGGUUUAAAACUUCUCAGCCAGACUUGGAUAGCUGUACUCCUUAAUUCUAUCUAUUGUGUACCCU